AUGGUUUAAGUUCUGUGAUUCUAUUAAUAAAACCAACUAGUUAACUUUCAUUGCUAAUACACCAGUGACUUUGUCUUUUCAGAUGUGGCAGCAAAAAUAUAUUGGACAGAUAUAUAAAGACAGAAGCAUCAAAUACCUCAAAAUGAGCAACAGAGGGAACAAAAAAAUACUAAAAUGGCAUGCCAGAGACAGCAAUAAAAGGCUGCACUACACCACUGCUGGUCCAAAUUGAGGCAGAUUUUGAAGCGUUAUUGUACUGACAUCGGACAGAGCAUCAAAGACGGACAUGAAAAAGCGAAGGCAGCAUUGCCAGAAGACAGGCUUUGGUCAGUCGCUUAAAAGAGCUCUCUGCUGAAGAGGCAGCAAUUUGAUGGGGCAACUGAACAUAUGAUGUCUGAUGUGGAGACGGACCCAGAAGACCUCAAUGCAUUUUUAAUAACCUCCCCACCCUGGUAUUCCCCUGAGUUUGAGGACCUGAUUGCAUCAGCACACCAGAGAAAAAAGGGGCAAAGCACACUUAUGGGGUGAAAACGCUCCUUCAGAACGAAAACUGGAGCAAACAUCCACUGCAGUCCUAACUAGAACGUAUGCAAUAAACCACAGACAAUCACCUGCACCUUAGAGACUAUUUUCACUGACUCUUCACACUUGCUCCUCAAGACACUUUUUGCACCAACUUCCACACAUGCAGGUGCGCGCACACACACACACACACACAAUUACUGCUACUAUUUAUAAUUUCUUAUAUAAGAUGCUCCACCAUGUCUACCACAUUUUAUAGU